rnacentral:rRNA from 1 species
GACGAACGCUGGCGGCGUGCUUAACACAUGCAAGUCGAACGGGAAGGCCCUGCUUUUGUGGGGUGCUCGAGUGGCGAACGGGUGAGUAAAACGUGAGUAACCUGCCCUUGACUUUGGGAUAACUUCAGGAAACUGGGGCUAAUACCGGAUAGGAGCUCCUGCUGCAUGGUGGGGGUUGGAAAGUUUCGGCGGUUGGGGAUGGACUCGCGGCUUAUCAGCUUGUUGGUGGGGUAGUGGCUUACCAAGGCUUUGACGGGUAGCCGGCCUGAGAGGGUGACCGGCCACAUUGGGACUGAGAUACGGCCCAGACUCCUACGGGAGGCAGCAGUGGGGAAUAUUGCACAAUGGGCGGAAGCCUGAUGCAGCAACGCCGCGUGCGGGAUGACGGCCUUCGGGUUGUAAACCGCUUUCGCCUGUGACGAAGCGUGAGUGACGGUAAUGGGUAAAGAAGCACCGGCUAACUACGUG